CAGUCGCCGCGGUAAUGCGAAGGGGGCUAGCGUUGUUCGGAUUUACUGGGCGUAAAGGGUGCGUAGGCGGAUUGUUAAGUCAGGGGUGAAAUCCCGAGGCUCAACCUCGGAACUGCCUUUGAUACUGGCGAUCUUGAGUCCGGGAGAGGUGAGUGGAACUGCGAGUGUAGAGGUGAAAUUCGUAGAUAUUCGCAAGAACACCGGUGGCGAAGGCGGCUCACUGGCCCGGAACUGACGCUGAGGCACGAAAGCGUGGGGAGCAAACAGGAUUAGAUACCCCUGUAGUCCCUGUCUCUUAUAC
rnacentral:rRNA from 1 species